rnacentral:rRNA from 1 species
UAGGGAAUCUUCCGCAAUGGACGCAAGUCUGACGGAGCAACGCCGCGUGAGUGAAGAAGGUUUUCGGAUNGUAAAACUCUGUUGUUAGAGAAGAACAAGUGCUAGAGUAACUGUUAGCGCCUUGACGGUAUCUAACCAGAAAGCCACGGCUAACUACGUGCCAGCAGCCGCGGUAAUACGUAGGUGGCAAGCGUUGUCCGGAUUUAUUGGGCGUAAAGCGAGCGCAGGCGGUUCCUUAAGUCUGAUGUGAAAGCCCCCGGCUCAACCGGGGAGGGUCAUUGGAAACUGGGGAACUUGAGUGCAGAAGAGGAGAGUGGAAUUCCAUGUGUAGCGGUGAAAUGCGUAGAUAUAUGGAGGAACACCAGUGGCGAAGGCGACUCUCUGGUCUGUAACUGACGCUGAGGCUCGAAAGCGUGGGUAGCAAACAGGAUUAGAUACCCUGGUAGUCCACGCCGUAAACGAUGAGUGCUAAGUGUUGGAGGGUUUCCGCCCUUCAGUGCUGCAGUUAACGCAUUAAGCACUCCGCCUGGGGAGUACGACCGCAAGGUUG